UGCCAAGCAGUAUAGUUCUAUGGUACAAAUACCAGAUUCUAAAACCAAAUAUAAACAGAUUGUAGGACACUUUCUGGACAGCUUGUUCUCAGAUAGCCUGUAACGUCGUGUGCCUCUCAAUGAGUGGUGCACUCAGGUUGUGCCUCCAGAGGCCGGGACAUGGUCAGUGGCCCCAGGGCAAGAAAAAAUGUGUCUCUGGGUGACAGAGACAUGGCAAAAAGGGAGGAACUGUAGCCCACAGAGAUAGUACUGGAAUGAAUAGAGAGCAGAGUAGCCCAACCCCUGCUGUGGCAGAGAGAAACCCUUCAGAGAAUGAGUUGGCUGUAAAUCAAACCCUACUGGGAUCGCAGCAGCCAAGCAGGGAAGCAAGAAUUUGCCUAAUGUUUCUUUCAUAAGAGAACAGCACAAGAUAUCUGGAAGCAUCAAGAUUUGGCUCCUCUCCUGUCUCAGCAAACUUGUUUAGAAACAUAGGACAAGUUUUCUCAUAAUUGAGACAGUGAAGUCUCUGCUACUCAGUGGUGAGUGUAAUUUUCCAUUACAAUACUUCACCUAUAGACACAGCAGAUCCUUUUUCUCUCGGG
rnacentral:lncRNA from 12 species